UACGAAGGGGGCUAGCGUUGUUCGGAAUUACUGGGCGUAAAGCGCGCGCAGGCGGUUCUUUUAAGUCAGGGGUGAAAUCCUGGAGCUCAACUCCAGAACUGCCUUUGAUACUGAAGAUCUUGAGUUCGGGAGAGGUGAGUGGAACUGCGAGUGUAGAGGUGAAAUUCGUAGAUAUUCGCAAGAACACCAGUGGCGAAGGCGGCUCACUGGCCCGAUACUGACGCUGAGGCACGAAAGCGUGGGGAGCAAACAGGG
rnacentral:rRNA from 1 species